UACCCGCUCCGCGAGUGGUGAGGACUAUUACUGGGCUUAAAGCGUCCGUAGCCGGCCCGACGUGCUCCGCGUUAAAUCCAGCAGCCUAACUGCUGGGCUGCGCGGAUGACUGCCGGGCUUGGGGGUGGGAGAGGGCGGCGGUAUUCCCGGGGUAGGGGUAAAAUCCACUGAUCCCGGGAGGACCACCAGUGGCGAAGGCGGCCGCCCAGAACACGCCCGACGGUGAGGGACGAAAGCUGGGGGAGCGAUCGGG
rnacentral:rRNA from 1 species